CGGUGAUAUAUUGUGAGUAUCAUAAGCCCAGAAAAUAUUAAUUAAUGGACCAAACAACUUUUUUGGGCCUGAGCCGUAUCAGUGGACUGAUACUUCUGAUACUGGGUAUCAGUCGACGUGGCACGUGCUGAUUGGUGCUGCAAACGCGUUUUUGGCUAAAGGCAGAGAAAAAAAAAAAAAUUCUCACCUCUCUCUACCGAGAAAACCUAGAACUUCUCUGGCGAUUUCGAUUUUCCCUCUCCUCCGCCGAUUCUUCCUUCCCGAUCUUGCCUUCGGUCCCUCUGCAGACGAGAUACCCGACGAGCUAUGGAGAAAGAUCAUCGGUGGCUUUGAAGGUUUGGCAGCCGGAUUGUGGUACCAUUAUUGGCUCUCUCAGGCAAGCAUCGGUGGCAAGCAUCGGUGGCUUUGAAGGUUUUGAAGGUUUGAGAGGGAGAAGGAGAGGAAAGUAGCUGCAUAUAGAAGAGCUUUACUCAGGAAGGAGAGUGAAAUUUAUGAAUGGGGCCGGAGGAUUCGUGAAUUGGAGGCUCGAUUGUCGGACGAGGCUGAGAGAUUACAGUCUUCUUCUCUGCAAUUUUCAGAUUUGCUCAAAGUGAGGCAAGCAUCGAUGGCUUUGAAGGUUUGGCAGCCGGAUUGUGGUACCAUUAUUUGCAUCCAUUUGUAACAAAUAAGAUUUAUGUUGGUAUUAUUUGGUUUUAAUAUUUUGGAAACACUUGUUUUGGCAACAAUAUCAUUUGGAGAAAGAAGUAUAUUUAUUUUUGAUUUUGCAAUU